GGCCGGAUAGCUCAGUUGGUAGAGCAUGAGACUCUUAAUGGCUUCAACCAGAGCUAGGGCCUUUUCAACUCUGGCUCCGGCCU